rnacentral:rRNA from 1 species
AUUGAACGCUGGCGGCAGGCCUAACACAUGCAAGUCGAACGGUAACAGGAAGAAGCUUGCUUCUUUGCUGACGAGUGGCGGACGGGUGAGUAAUGUCCGGGAAACUGCCUGAUGGAGGGGGAUAACUACUGGAAACGGUUACUAAUACCGCAUAACGUCGCAAGGCCAAAGAGGGGGACCCUCCGGCCUUUUGCCGUCGGAUUUGCCCAGAUGGGAUUAGCUAGUAGGUGGGGUAACGGCUCACCUAAGCGACGAUCCCUAGCUGGUCUGAGAGGAUGACCAGCCACACUGGAACUGAGACACGGUCCAGACUCCUACGGGAGGCAGCAGUGGGGAAUAUUGGACAAUGGGCGCAAGCCUGAUGCAGCCAUGCCGCGUGUGUGAAGAAGGCCUUCGGGUUGUAAAGUACUUUUGGCGGGGAGGAAGAGAGGAAAGUUAAUACCUUGGCGCAUUGACGUUACCCAAAGAAGAAGCACCGGCUAACUCCGUG